GGCGCGCCUCAGGACUUCGGGUCCCCUCACCCCGGGCGGAUGCCCAAAGACUCCGCCUUCCCAAGAGCCCCUGCGGCCGGGCGCGAAGAUGGCGGCGGCGGCGACGGCCGGGCGCUCCUGAAGCAGCAGUUAUGGAGCUUCCCUCAGGGCCGGGGCCGGAGCGGCUCUUUGACUCGCACCGGUAAGAGACCCGGCGGGAAGAGACCGAUCCCCGCGUCCUCUCGGCCUUCGGCGCCUGACCACUUCGCCUCUCGCCCCCAGGCUCCCGGGUGACUGCUUCCUCCUGCUCGCGCUGCUGCUCUACGCGCCAGUCGGGUUCUGCCUCCUCGUCCUGCGCCUCUUUCUCGGGAUCCACGUCUUCCUGGUCAGCUGCGCGCUGCCAGACAGCGUCCUUCGCAGGUUCCGACGCGGGCGUUCGGGGAGUGUCAGAGCUGGGUCUGGCCCGAGGCCACACAGUCACCACCUCCUGUGUCCCCAGAUUCGUAGUGCGGACCAUGUGUGCGGUGCUAGGGCUCGUGGCCCGGCAGGAGGACUCCGGACUCCGGGAUCACAGUGUCAGGGUCCUCAUUUCCAACCAUGUGACACCUUUCGACCACAACAUAGUCAAUUUGCUUACCACCUGUAGCACCCCUCUACUCAAUAGUCCCCCCAGCUUUGUGUGCUGGUCUCGGGGCUUCAUGGAGAUGAAUGGGCGGGGGGAGUUGGUGGAGUCACUCAAGAGAUUCUGUGCUUCCACGAGGCUU
rnacentral:sRNA from 1 species